CGGGGUGAGUAACGCGUGGGUAACCUGCCUUGUACUGGGGGACAACAGUUGGAAACGACUGCUAAUACCGCAUAAGCGCACAGCUUCGCAUGAAGCAGUGUGAAAAACUCCGGUGGUACAAGAUGGACCCGCGUCUGAUUAGCUGGUUGGUGAGGUAACGGCCCACCAAGGCGACGAUCAGUAGCCGGCCUGAGAGGGUGACCGGCCACAUUGGGACUGAGACACGGCCCAA
rnacentral:rRNA from 1 species